rnacentral:misc_RNA from 1 species
GACAGAGGGUGCGAACGUUGCUCGGAAUUACUGGGCGUAAAGCGCGUGUAGGCGGGUGAUCAAGUCAGAUGUGAAAUCCCUGAGCUCAACUCAGGAACUGCAUUUGAAACUGGUCGCCUCGAGUGUUGGAGAGGGAAGCGGAAUUCCUGGUGUAGAGGUGAAAUUCGUAGAUAUCAGGAGGAACACCGGUGGCGAAGGCGGCUUCCUGGACAAUUACUGACGCUGAGACGCGAAAGCGUGGGGAGCAAACAGG